rnacentral:sRNA from 1 species
GCUUAGGCUGGAGUGCAGUGGCAUGAUCACAGCUCACUGCAGCCUUGACCUCCCCGGCUCAAGUGAUCCUCUUACCUCAGCCUCCCGAGUAGCUGGGACUACAGAUGUACACCAUCACACCUGGCUAAUUUUUGUAUUUUUUGUGGAGACGGGUUUUUUCCAUGUUUCCCAGGCUAGUCUUGAACUCCUGGGCUUAAGUGAGCCUGAAACAGUGAAGUUUUGAUACCAGGCGUUAACCAUCUUCCCAUCGAUGCAUUUCGCCCUUUCUCAGCCUCCUGACAGUGGGCCUCCACCAUUGCCAACAUCUUCCCUCCCAGAAGGUUAUUAUGAGGAAGCUGUGCCGCUGAGCCCCGGAAAAGCUCCGGAAUACAUCACAUCAAAUUAUGAUUCCGAUGCGAUGAGCAGCUCUUACGAGUCGUAUGAUGAAGAGGAGGAGGAUGGGAAGGGGAAGAAAACCCGGCACCAGUGGCCCUCUGAGGAGGCCUCCAUGGACCUGGUCAAGGACGCCAAAAUCUGCGCCUUCCUGCUGCGGAAGAAGCGGUUCGGCCAGUGGACCAAGUUGCUCUGCGUCAUCAAAGACACCAAACUGCUGUGCUAUAAAAGUUCCAAGGACCAGCAGCCUCAGAUGGAACUGCCACUCCAAGGCUGUAACAUUACGUACAUCCCGAAAGACAGCAAAAAGAAGAAGCACGAGCUGAAGAUUACUCA